rnacentral:rRNA from 1 species
CUACGUGCCAGCAGCCGCGGUAAUACGUAGGGCGCGAGCGUUGUCCGGAAUUAUUGGGCGUAAAGAGCUUGUAGGCGGUUUGUCGCGUCUGCUGUGAAAGGCCGGGGCUUAACCCCGUGUAUUGCAGUGGGUACGGGCAGACUAGAGUGCAGUAGGGGAGACUGGAACUCCUGGUGUAGCGGUGGAAUGCGCAGAUAUCAGGAAGAACACCGAUGGCGAAGGCAGGUCUYUGGGCUGUAACUGACGCUGAGAAGCGAAAGCAUGGGGAGCGAACAGGAUUAGAUACCCUGGUAGUCCAUGCCGUAAACGUUGGGCACUAGGUGUGGGGGACAUUCCACGUUUUCCGCGCCGUAGCUAACGCAUUAAGUGCCCCGCCUGGGGAGUACGGCCGCAAGGCUAAAACUCAAAGAAAUUGACGGGGGCCCGCACAAGCGGCGGAGCAUGCGGAUUAAUUCGAUGCAACGCGAAGAACCUUACCAAGGCUUGACAU